rnacentral:rRNA from 1 species
GACAGAGGUGCCGAGCGUUAGGCGGAAUCACUGGGCUUAAAGCGUGUGUAGGCGGGUCCGUAAGUACCUUGUGAAAUCCCACGGCUCAACCGUGGAACUGCUCGGUAUACUGCGGGUCUUGAGCUGUCUAGGGGCGACCGGAACAAGCGGUGGAGCGGUGAAAUGCGUAGAUAUCGCUUGGAACGCCAGUGGUGAAAACGGGGUCGCUGGGGACAUGCUGACGGCUGAGACACGGAAAGCCCAGGGGGAGCAAAACGGG